CACGGUUUCCGUGUCGCAGCUAACGCAUUAAGCGCCCCGCCUGGGGAGUACGGCCGCAAGGCUAAAACUCAAAGGAAUUGACGGGGGCCCGCACAAGCGGCGGAGCAUGCGGAUUAAUUCGAUGCAACGCGAAGAACCUUACCAAGGCUUGACAUAUACGAGAACGGGCUAGAAAUAGUCAACUCUUUGGACACUCGUAAACAGGUGGUGCAUGGUUGUCGUCAGCUCGUGUCGUGAGAUGUUGGGUUAAGUCCCGCAACGAGCGCAACCCUCGUUCUAUGUUGCCAGCACGUAAUGGUGGGAACUCAUAGGAGACUGCCGGGGUCAACUCGGAGGAAGGUGGGGAUGACGUCAAAUCAUCAUGCCCCUUAUGUCUUGGGCUUCACGCAUGCUACAAUGGCCGGUACAAAGGGCUGCAAUACCGCAAGGUGGAGCGAAUCCCAAAAAGCCGGUCUCAGUUCGGAUUGAGGUCUGCAACUCGACCUCAUGAAGUCGGAGUCGCUAGUAAUCGCAGAUCAGCAACGCUGCGGUGAAUACGUUCCCGGGCCUUGUACACACCGCCCGUCAAGUCAUGAAAGUCGGUAACACCCGAAGCCGGUGGCCUAACCCU
rnacentral:rRNA from 1 species